UACGAAGGGGGCUAGCGUUGUUCGGAAUUACUGGGCGUAAAGCGCACGUAGGCGGAUCGAUCAGUCAGGGGUGAAAUCCCAGGGCUCAACCCUGGAACUGCCUUUGAUACUGUCGAUCUGGAGUAUGGAAGAGGUGAGUGGAAUUCCGAGUGUAGAGGUGAAAUUCGUAGAUAUUCGGAGGAACACCAGUGGCGAAGGCGGCUCACUGGUCCAUUACUGACGCUGAGGUGCGAAAGCGUGGGGAGCAAACAGGGAUAGAA
rnacentral:rRNA from 1 species